GCGGCAACAGCUCAAAUUUGAAAUCUGGCCCUCGGGUCCGAGUUGUAAUUGGCAGAGGAUGCUUUUGGCGAGGGACCUUCCAAGUUCCUUAGAAUAGGACGCCGCAGAGGGUGAGAGCCCCGUACGGUUGGACCCCGAGCCUGUGUAAAGCUCCCUCAACGAGUCGAGUAGUUUGGGAAUGCUGCUCUAAUUGGGAGGUAAAUUUCUUCUAAAGCUAAAUACCGGCCAGAGACCGAUAGCGCACAAGUAGAGUGAUCGAAAGAUGAAAAGCACUUUGAAAAGAGGGUGAAACAGUACGUGAAAUUGUUGAAAGGGAAGCGCUUGUGACCAGACCUGCGCCCGGCGAAUCAUCCAGCUCCGGCUGGUGCACUUCUCCGGCGUAGGCCAGCACCGGUUCGCCGCGGGGGAAAAAGACGGUGGGAAUGUAGCUCCUCCUGGAGUGUUAUAGCCCGCCGUGUAAUGCCCUGGGGCGUACCGAGGUACGCGCUCUGCAAGGGUGCUGGCGUAAUGGUCAUCAGCGGCCCGUCUUGAAACACGGACCAAGGAGUCGUCCUCGUAUGCGAGUGUUCGGGUGUAAAACCCUUGCGCGUAAUGAAAGUGAACGUAGGUGAGAGCUUCGGCGCAUCAUCGACCGAUCCUGAUGUUCUCGGAUGGAUUUGAGUAAGAGCAUAUGGGGCCGGACCCGAAAGAAGGUGAACUAUGCGUGUGUAGGGUGAAGCCAGAGGAAACUCUGGUGGAGGCUCGCAGCGGUUCUGACGUGCAAAUCGAUCGUCAAACAUGCGCAUGGGGGCGAAAGACUAAUCGAACCUUCUAGUAGCUGGUUUCCGCCGAAGUUUCCCUCAGGAUAGCAGUGUUGAGCUCAGUUUUAUGAGGUAAAGCGAAUGAUUAGGGACUCGGGGGCGCUAUUUUGCCUUCAUCCAUUCUCAAACUUUAAAUAUGUAAGAAGCCCUUGUUACUUAAUUGAACGUGGGCAUUCGAAUGUAUCAACACUAGUGGGCCAUUUUUGGUAAGCAGAACUGGCGAUGCGGGAUGAACCGAUCGCGGGGUUAAGGUGCCAGAGUAGACGCUCAUCAGACACCACAAAAGGUGUUAGUACAUCUUGACAGCAGGACGGUGGCCAUGGAAGUCGGAAUCCGCUAAGGACUGUGUAACAACUCACCUGCCGAAUGUACUAGCCCUGAAAAUGGAUGGCGCUCAAGCGUCUCACCCAUACCCCGCCCCCAGGGUAGAAACGAUGCCCUGGGGAGUAGGCGGA
rnacentral:rRNA from 1 species